GACGAACGCUGGCGGCGUGCUUAAUACAUGCAAGUCGAACGGAACGUCUUUGCCUUUGUGGGGUGCUACAGUGGCGAACAGGUGUGUAACACGUAAGUAACCUGACCUUGACUUUGGGAUAACUUCAGGAAACUGGGGCUACUACCGGACAGGUGCUCCUGCUGCAUGACGGGGGUUGGCACAUUUCGGCGGUUGGGGAUGGACUUGCGGCUUAUCAGCUUGUUGGUGGGGUAGUGGCUGACCAAGGCUUUGACGGAUAGCCGGCCUGAGGGGGUGACCGACCACAAUGGGACUGAGAGACGGCCCAGACGCCUACGGUACGCAGCAGUGGGGAAUAUUGCACAGUGGGCGGAAGCCUGAUGCAGCGGCACCGCGAUCGUGAUGACGGCCUUCGAGUUAUAAACGGCUGUGGCCUUUGACGAAGCGGGAGUGACGGUAAUGGAUAAAGAAGCACCGGCUAACUACGUG
rnacentral:rRNA from 1 species